ACAGCUCAGCUCAGCCCUGACCUGCGAUCCACUCCCGGGGUUAGGCACAGGGUGGGGCUCUCGCCCGCGGUUCCCAGGGCCCGGAGCAGCCAGGCACACAGUGAGCUCCCAGGGCGGCCCUGCCCUCCCAGCCCGGGCCCAGUGCUCCCUGGAGCCGCCGGAGGAGCAGGAGCUCGGGCGAAUGUAGCGCCAGCUCACGGCGCUUUUGCAAGCCGCGUCAAGGCUGGGUCUCCAGGGUUACGAGAGCCGCGGCUCCGCGGAGUUUGCUCGCAAGGCCCGGAUUCCCUCCCGCCAGAAAGCCGCUGUUUGCUCAGCCUGGCAAAACAUUUAUGUAAAGUGUUUAUGUAACCACGAAGAUGCCAAGAACAGCUCCUUACGCGGCCGCACUGGGCCCCUCACACGACACAGGGCGUGCGCUAACACCACUGACGUCCGGAGCCCGCCCGCAAGCCCCUGCCACCAAACCCGCAGCGUUUCCCUCUGCUUCCCCGCCCGUGCAGCUCCCGGAGGUUUGCGAUUCCCAGGUGACGGGCAGAGCCUGGGAGAAGGGCGCCGUGGGAGCUCCGCAGAGCCGGCCCUGCCCGGGACUGACAGCCACACCUGCCGGCCCCCACCGCCCUUUGACAUCCAUCCAUGGCCACGGCCAAAGAGCCUGGGAGGCCCUCGGAAGCAGGGUGAGCCUGGGGCCCAGUGGGUCGCUUCCCGGCCUGGGGUUCCACAGCUGCUGGGCUCCGCAGCCACCGCCCCCUGCACGCCCUUGCGUGAGGCCAGUUCUGGGGGCCACUUGCACAGGUCUGGGAGCAGAUGUGGGGCCAGAGUCCAGUCUGUGCCUGCUGCUGUCCCAGUGCCUGAACCCGGUGGACACGAGCAGGGGUGGGGUGUCUAUGGGAGCGCAUGGUGCUGCCGCCGCUCCCGCCCAGUCUCCUUCCUCCCCUUUCUGGAUGCGGGUGGAUGGUGGAAGUCAGACCCUGGGAGUGACAGGGGAGGGGAAAGCUGCCUGGAUCCUACCCUGCGGAGCCCUGCCCAGUCCCCAGUAA
rnacentral:lncRNA from 1 species